ensembl:lncRNA
GGGGUACAAUUUGGUGGCAUCUAGCGGAGCAGAGAAUGGCAGAACAGUUUUGCAUCGACAUGUUUCUAAAGUAUGACACAAAUGGUUCUAGGGUUCUAAAAUGGUAUUCGUUUUUUAUCACAAUUGCUUUCUUACUUGUAAUUUAUGACAGUUGUUCAAUUUAAAGACUAAAUAAUUACAUACAGAUUAUAAAUCUAUGAAGGAUCCGCAUCAGUUUGAUGUUUGGCUACUCUGUGGUGUCGUAGACGAUAAUAUCACUGUGGCCACCGUAGUCCUCCUUUGUCAUCACUGUGUCCAGUACAGGCCACCGUAGUCCUCCUUCGUCAUCACUGUGUCCAGUACAGGCCACCAUAGUCCUCCUUCGUCAUCACUGUGUCCAGUACAGGCCACCGUAGUAUUCAGAGGGUGCAUUCUGCCUGUUCACCACUAGAUGCCACUAAACCCCACACACAGCCCCUUUAAGGACCCGAGGGAGCGCUUGGUUUGAGACCCGAUUGGAGACUGCAGUGUGACGUGUGCGGUCGGUUCCGUCAUUCACCUCAUGACCUCUGACCUCUUGACCCAGAUUGCUGGGACAGCAACGAGGACUCCCCUCCCCCCCUCCCCGCGAGGACCCCAGAGUCCUUCAUCCUGGCCUCAGACCCGUCGGAAGUGAAGACCUCCGCCUCCGCCGAGUGGAGCUGUCUGCACAGAGACACGGCGGACAGCAGUAAGAAGCUGUCCCCAGCUGACCCUCCUCUCACCGGCGCCACGGCAGCGGUUGGGAAGCCGGUCCUGGGCGGGACCCGCUAACUCCCUGCGCUAUGGAGCCCCCAGUCCAGCCCACGGCCCCCCACAACGGACAGGCAACGGGCCCCCUCGGCCCCCCCCUCCCCCAG